AUUGAACGCUGGCGGCAGGCCUAACACAUGCAAGUCGAGCGAGCGGCGGACGGGUGAGUAAUGUAUGGGGAACUGCCCGAUGGAGGGGGAUAACUACUGGAAACGGUGGCUAAUACCGCAUACUAUCGGAUGAACCCAUAUGGUAUUAGCUAGUAGGUGGGGUAAAGGCUCACCUAGGCGACGAUCUCUAGCGGGUCUGAGAGGAUGAUAAGCCAAACUGGUACUGAGACAGUGUCCAGACUCCUACGGGAGGCAGCAGUGGGGAAUAUUGCACAAGGGGCGCAAGCCUGAUGCAGCCAUGCCGCGGGGAGGAAGAAGGCCUUAGGGUUGUAAAGUACUUUCAGCGGGGAGGCGUUACCCGCAGAAGAAGCACCGGCUAACCUCGUGCCAGCAGCCGCGGUAAUUC
rnacentral:rRNA from 1 species